GAAGGCCCGGACUGCCAGGAUCGAGAGCAAGAAUAAAUUAAAAUCUAUUGAGCUCAGUCGAGAGCCUGUCUCCACCGACCAAAGACUUUCCUCUGAGGUCAGAAUAGUUUUGGAGACACCUACAUCUACUCUGACCCCGAUCAUCAAGUGACCUCAGCCUUUCAAGACUUCUGCUCGGGUAGGGUCUUCUAAGAAGGCUGACGAUGAUGAGGCCCUUCCCAACGACAUUCCAAAGGGCUUAUUUUUCAAGACUGAAAGGUAGUUCGUGAAACUAUCCAAAACUCUAUUAUUUCGAUGGAGUUAGAGCAGAU
rnacentral:lncRNA from 1 species